GCGGGAAUAGCUCAGUUGGUAGAGCACGACCUUGCCAAGGUCGGGGUCGCGAGUUCGAGUCUCGUUUCC
rnacentral:tRNA from 5 species